UGCUGAUCUCCGUCGCUUUGUGCUUCUUUCCCCUCUAGAUCUGCCUGGACGCUGGCUUGACUUAGGUGACUAGGCAUGUGUCUUAUUUCCAAAACAAACGAUUGGUAACAGAUUUGCUUUUUCUCCCCCCUUCAAAAAGCGGCUCUCCUAACGCAGCAAAGCCAAGUCGAAACCGGGCGCUUCCUUUCCCAGUUUCACUCGCCACCCUGGACAGCCUUUCGCCACAUCCCUUCACCCAUCUCGUGAUUUCGGCCGUCUCUCACGCAACGCUUUCUUGAGCCCAAGUUUGUUCUAAAUGAUUCUGCAUUCAAUUCCCUGAAGAAGACUAACCAUCCAAAACUACACAGAGCAUGGUUAAAAUGCCAAGUGUAUUUUCCCUGAAAAGCUACAGUUUUAAUCUAAUUAAUCAAAUCUGAAGGUAGUCUGAUUAUUUCAGAAACAGCACCAUGUAUUUCCUGACUUUAACAAUCGACUUCCUGUCCCAUCUCAGCGUCUCAGACCAACUUGAGUCAAUUUGGAUACAGUAAUGAAAUUGGUCAUACUGCGCAAACUGACCCAUUUUCUCACAUAAAACAUCAGAGAAUAUCACACCUGUGAAAAUUCUUUCCAUUCUUAUCUUGGCAAGGUAGGGUCAAUGUCAAUCUGUCACUGGAGGCAGAAGAUUCAAUAUGUUCUCUUAAAUUGUUGAACUUCAGUUAGGAAAAUUCACUCAUGGGAUAGUCUAAUCAUUAUGCAAUCUUUUUAAUUUGAAAGAUACCUGCAGUAAUUACUAUAACAAUGCUCACCUAAAACUGGUUUAACAUGCCGCCCAUUCCUGGUCUGAGUUACAAGCUGAAUGCAUCCCUAAAAAAUCUAUGAAUAUUAACUUUGCAAUCAUAUUUAUCAUAUGUGUGAAAUAACAUGUUUGUUUACAUUCUGCAUAUAAUGACUAUUUAACUUACAAACAAACUUUUUUUCAGCAAAAUACAAAAGCAUGAAUUAGAAUACAAUUAAAUUAUGUUUAAAGCUGUAUCUUUACAUCAUACAAUGUUGUUUAAUGAUAGUGCAGCACCUCUUGCAAAAAGUAAUGUUCCAAUUUCAGAUAAUGAGCCUUCCAGCUCAUCAGCUUUAUAUGUAAAGUGUAUGUAACUGCAAAUUGUGAAAUCAUAAGUUAUACAUAAUUGGAAGCCAAGAACAAACUUUCUUUUAGUGACUUGCAUUGAUAAUCUGGCAUAUUAUAUAUGAUAAUAAUGUGACAAUUUACAAAUACUGGCUGUGUGGAAUAGCACCACUCUUAACCAAUUUAAAAGAUGCUGAUUCUCGUUGAUAUGCAACGUUUGGACAGUACAACAGAUCCUGAGACCAACAGCAUGUUUUAAGGACAAAGUCUUUUCUUUGGAACUGCUGAUCAGAAUAUUGUAGUACUUUGAUUUGAAUUGCACAUCUAAUGCUUUGCAGUUUUGAAAACCCUUAAAGAUGCGUACAUCAGUUAUCAGAGCUGAAAAUGUGU